UUUUUUUUUUAUUUUGCUAAAUUUGGACAAACUUUUCCCCCACAGCCGGUCUCUCUCUUCCGUCUCGCUCAUCUUGCCCCCUCUCACUCCGUAGCCUUCCUCCGGUCUCUCUUCCCUCUCUCUCACUCGAUCUCUCUCCUCCUUCUCGCUCAUCUUGCCCUCUCUCUCAUUCCAUAGCCUUCCUCCUUAUCAUUCCUCCUCAUCCUCUUGACGAGGAAGGUGGUGAAGAUGCAGUGCAAGAUUGAGGAGGUGGAGCCUGGAAAGUUCGUCAGGAAGUGCGAGAAGACCGAGUAGCUUCUCAGAGACUGCGCCGGUUGCUGCUUCACCUUUGCAAUGUAUUCAGCCAUUGCUUCUUCUUUGUUCUAUGGUGGAAAAGCGCACUGUUGUACCCGAGGAUGCAGGUCUUCAAAUCGUGACUGAGGUCCUGGAUCAAAAGUUUAGUCGUCAUCAUGGCAAGGUUGUUCGGUGUAUAGGGAAGGCGGGGGUUCGUGAGACAAGUGCCUCAUCUUCCAGAUCAUCCACAGGAAAGGUCAAUGCCCUGAAGGAGGAAGUGACAACUCUAAAAGGUUAGCUUGCAUCCCAGAACGAGAAGAUGAGUAUGAUUGUACGAGCCAUACAGAUGACUGGCCUCCAAAUCUCGCUACCAGUACUUGAUCUUGCUACUAUACCUUCGACCUCCGAGCUACUUCACCCUGCCGAUACCCAGUAGCCACUUCACCUAGAAGACUAUUUGUAGUUUUUUCUUUUUUUUUUAUUCAGACAUCUUGUAUGUACAUUUUCAUAUAUUUUAUAAUUAAAUACUUUUCUUUGGUUAAUUAA